UUUGAAUAGAUUUUCAAUGGUGGUGCUACAUAUCGAUGGGUAUACACGCGACAGUUUCUAAAGGUAAAGUAUAUACUUUAUGCAGAUAUAAUAUAAAAA